rnacentral:tRNA from 1 species
GCCGAAAUAGCUCAGUUAGGAGAGCGUUAGAGUGAAUAUAUAAAGGUCCCUGGUUCGAUCCCGGGUUUUGGCA